rnacentral:tRNA from 1 species
GCCCCUGUAGCUCAGCAGGAUAGAGCAGAGGCUUCCUAAGCCUUGUGUCGGGAGUUCGAAUCUCUCCAGGGGUA